rnacentral:rRNA from 1 species
CACGUAGGGGGCGAGCGUUGUCCGGAUUUAUUGGGCGUAAAGAGCUCGUAGGCGGCUCGGUAAGUGAGGUGUGAAAACUCCAGGCUCAACCUGGAGACGCCACCUCAUACUGCCGUGGCUAGAGUCCGGUAGGGGAGCAUGGAAUUCCUGGUGUAGCGGUGAAAUGCGCAGAUAUCAGGAAGAACACCUAUGGCGAAAGCAGCUCUCUGGGACGGUACUGACGCUGAGACGCGAAAGCGUGGGGAGCGAACAGG